rnacentral:RNase_P_RNA from 2 species
UGAGCCAGCCAGGCGGUCGCGUCGGGUGCUUGCACCCGCCGAGGAACGUCCGGGCUCCGCAGGGCAGGGUGGUGGGCAACACCCACCCGGGGUGACCCGCGGGACAGUGCCACAGAGAACAGACCGCCGGACCCCCUCGGGGGACCGGUAAGGGUGAAACGGUGGUGCAAGAGACCACCAGCGCGCCGGGUGACCGGCGCGGCUCGGCAAACCCCACCCGGAGCAAGGCCAGACAGGGAGCGUUCGAGGGCGGCCCGCCCGAGCUCCCGGGUAGGCCGCUGGAGGCGUGCGGCAACGUACGUCGUAGAUGGAUGGCCGCCACCCGCGCGAGGGCAACCGCGCGCGGGCACAGAACCCGGCGUAUCGGCUGGCUCAUCCG